UUAUAUUACAUGUCCAAUCCAGCACUGUGAUCUCAUACUCGCAUUGAAAUUCAUGUUUUUCUUAUCAAAGGAUGGUUUUUAGGAAAAUUGUCUUCGAUUUUUUCAUCAUUUUAUCUUGGACAUGGAAGGGGUUACUCGAGCAUAGUCCGGCAUUAUGCAUGUGCUUAGUGUUCCAAUGAAAUUUUGAUAAAUGUCAUCAAUGUCUUGGUUAUUACCUGGAACAGUAAGUGUUGAUGUAGUUAUUGAUGAGAAUAUCAAGGUUGAGGUUUGUGCAUGAAGAAAUUGUCGUUCUUCACAUGCAAACCUUAAAAUUAGAGUAAUAAAGCCCUGCUGGAAUUUGUGUUUUUGGGCUCAUAACCUUAAAAAUUGAACUUUUAAAAACUUUCCAGAAUUGGAUUUUUUUUCUCCGUCAACGCUGACAAGCCAUUAUCAUUGUUUUAGCUCUGAAGCUUAUAUAUCAUUAUUAGUAUGCUUGUUUAUAUGAAUUGGAAAUAGACAUGAUUUAUCCUAUUGUCCUCUGCAGGUUAAAAUGAUAAUGGCAACAA
rnacentral:misc_RNA from 1 species